rnacentral:rRNA from 1 species
UACGUAGGGGGCAAGCGUUAUCCGGAAUUACUGGGCGUAAAGCGCACGCAGGCGGUUCGCCAAGUUUGGAGUGACAGUUGUCGGCUCAACCGACAAAGGACUUCAAAAACUGGUGAACUUGAGGACGAGAGAGGAACAUGGAACUCCAGGUGUAGUAGUGAAAUGCGUAGAUAUCUGGAAGAACACCAAUGGCGAAGGCGAUGUUCUGGCUCGUUUCUGACGCUCAGGUGCGAAAGCCAGGGGAGCGAACGGG